rfam:Synechococcus sp. CC9605, complete genome.
CUGCGUUCACCCUGAACUAGGGCGCAUCUACAACGAGUCAGGGAACGGGGGCUCGUC